rnacentral:rRNA from 1 species
AUUGAACGCUGGCGGCAUGCCUUACACAUGCAAGUCGAACGGCAGCGGACCUUCGGGUGCCGGCGAGUGGCGAACGGGUGAGUAAUAUAUCGGAACGUACCUUUCAGUGGGGGAUAACGUAGCGAAAGUUACGCUAAUACCGCAUAUUCUGUGAGCAGGAAAGCAGGGGAUCGCAAGACCUUGCGCUGAUUGAGCGGCCGAUAUCAGAUUAGCUAGUUGGUGAGGUAAAGGCUCACCAAGGCGACGAUCUGUAGCGGGUCUGAGAGGAUGAUCCGCCACACUGGAACUGAGACACGGUCCAGACUCCUACGGGAGGCAGCAGUGGGGGAAUUUUGGACAAUGGGCGCAAGCCUGAUCCAGCCAUGCCGCGUGAGUGAAGAAGGCCUGGUUGUAA